rnacentral:tRNA from 1 species
GGGGGUGUAGUCCAAUUGGUAGAGACAGCAGACUUAAAAUCUGUACAGUGUGAGUUCAAAUCUCACUACCCCUACCA